UACGAAGGGGGCUAGCGUUGUUCGGAAUUACUGGGCGUAAAGCGCACGUAGGCGGAUUAGUAAGUCAGGGGUGAAAUCCCGGGGCUCAACCUCGGAACUGCCUUUGAUACUGCUGAUCUCGAGUCCGGAAGAGGUGAGUGGAAUUCCUAGUGUAGAGGUGAAAUUCGUAGAUAUUAGGAAGAUCACCAGUGGCGAAGGCGGAUCACUGGUCCGGUACUGACGCUGAGGUGCGAAAGCGUGUGGAGCAAACAUG
rnacentral:rRNA from 1 species